rnacentral:rRNA from 1 species
UUUAUUAGAUCAAAACCAACCUGCUUCGGCAGAAGGUUUGAUGACUCUGGAUAAUUGUUCCUGAUCGCAGUGCCUUGCGCAAGCGACAUAUCUUUCAAGUGUCUUACCUAUCAACUAUCGAUGGUGAGUUAUUUGCUCACCAUGGUUAUAACGGGUAACGGGGAAUCAGGGUUCGAUUCCGGAGAGGGAGCCUUAGAAAUGGCUACCACAUCUAAGGAAGGCAGCAGGCGCGCAAAUUACCCACUCUCAGCUCGAGGAGGUAGUGACAGGAAAUAACAAUGCGGGACUCUAAUGAGGCCCCGUAAUUGGAAUGAGUACAAUUUAAAUCGUUUAACGAGAACCAAUCGGAGGGCAAGUCUGGUGCCAGCAGCCGCGGUAACUCCAGCUCCAAUAGCGGAAACUAAAGUUGUUGCAGUUAAAAAGCUCGUAGUUGGAUCUCAGGUUAGGAUCUGGUGGUUCACCGAAUGGUGUGACUGCCAGCUUCCGCCUAAUUAGUCGAAUGUUAUUUUGCGUGCUCUUAACCGAGUGCACAAAAUACUCGGCACGUUUACUUUGAACAAAUUAGAGUGCUCAAAG